rnacentral:piRNA from 1 species
AACUGUAAAGAAGAGUGAUGAGC